rnacentral:rRNA from 1 species
AAUGGCAGGUCAGCAUACUGCCGUGAAUACGUUCCCGGGCCUUGUACACACCGCCCGUCACACCAUGAGAGUUGGGGAUACCCAAAGCCCGUGAGCCAACUAUAAAGAGGCAGCGGUCUAAGGUAGAAUCAAUGAUUGGGGUGAAGUCGUAACAAGGUAAC